CACAACACGUCUAUGAGAUGUAAAACACAACACGUCUAUGAGAUGUAAAACACAACACGUCUAUGAGAUGUAAAACACAACACGUCUAUGAGAUGUAAAACACAACACGUCUAUGAGAUGUAAAACACAACACGUCUAUGAGAUGUAAAACACAACACAUCUAGGAGAUGUAAAACAACACAUCUAGGAGAUGUAAAACACAACACAUCUAGGAGAUGUAAAACAACACAUCUAGGAGAUAUGAAACAACACAUCUAGGUGAUGUAAAACAACACAUCUAGGUGAUGUAAAACAACACAUCUAGGAGAUGUAAAACACAACACAUCUAGGAGAUGUAAAACAACACAUCUAGGAGAUGUAAAACACAACACAUCUAGGAGAUGUAAAACAACACAUCUAGGAGAUAUAAAACAACACAUCUAGGAGAUAUAAAACACAACACAUCUAUGAGAUGUAAAACACAACACAUCUAGGAGAUGUAAAACACAACACAUCUAGGAGAUGUAAAACAACACAUCUAGGAGAUAUAAAACAACACAUCUAGGUGAUGUAAAACACAACACAUCUAGGAGAUGUAAAACACAACACAUCUAGGAGAUGUAAAACACAACACAUCUAGGAGAUGUAAAACAACACAUCUAGGAGAUGUAAAACAACACAUCUAGGAGAUAUAAAACAACACAUCUAGGUGAUGUAAAACAACACAUCUAGGUGAUGUAAAACAACACAUCUAGGUGAUGUAAAACAACACAUCUAGGAGAUAUAAAACAACACAUCUAGGUGAUGUAAAACAACACAUCUAGGUGAUGUAAAACAACACAUCUAGGAGAUGUAAAACACAACACAUCUAGGAGAUGUAAAACAAUACAUCUAGGAGAUAUAAAACAACACAUCUAGGAGAUAUAAAACACAACACAUCUAUGAGAUGUAAAACACAACACAUCUAGGAGAUGUAAAACACAACACAUCUAGGAGAUGUAAAACAACACAUCUAGGUGAUGUAAAACACAACACAUCUAGGAGAUGUAAAACACAACACAUCUAGGAGAUGUAAAACACAACACAUCUAGGAGAUGUAAAACAACACAUCUAGGAGAUGUAAAACAACACAUCUAGGAGAUAUAAAACAACACAUCUAGGUGAUGUAAAACAACACAUCUAGGUGAUGUAAAACAACACAUCUAGGAGAUAUAAAACAACACAUCUAGGUGAUGUAAAACAACACAUCUAGGUGAUGUAAAACAACACAUCUAGGAGAUAUAAAACACAACACGUCUAUGAGAUGUAAAACACAACACGUCUAUGAGAUGUAAAACACAACACGUCUAUGAGAUGUAAAACACAACACGUCUAUGAGAUGUAAAACACAACACGUCUAUGAGAUGUAAAACACAACACGUCUAUGAGAUGUAAAACACAACACAUCUAUGAGAUGUAAAACACAACACGUCUAUGAGAUGUAAAACACAACACAUCUAGGAGAUGUAAAACACAACACAUCUAGGAGAUGUAAAACACAACACAUCUAGGAGAUGUAAAACAACACAUCUAGGUGAUGUAAAACAACACAUCUAGGAGAUGUAAAACAACACAUCUAGGAGAUGUAAAACACAACACAUCUAGGAGAUGUAAAACAACACAUCUAGGAGAUGUAAAACACCACAUCUAGGAGAUAUAAAACACGUCUAUGAGAUAUAAAACACAACACGUCUAUGAGAUGUAAAACACAACACGUCUAUGAGAUGUAAAACACAACACGUCUAUGAGAUGUAAAACACAACACGUCUAUGAGAUGUAAAACACAACACGUCUAUGAGAUGUAAAACACAACACGUCUAUGAGAUGUAAAACACAACACGUCUAUGAGAUGUAAAACACAACACAUCUAGGAGAUGUAAAACAACACAUCUAGGAGAUGUAAAACACAACACAUCUAGGAGAUGUAAAACAACACAUCUAGGUGAUGUAAAACAACACAUCUAGGUGAUGUAAAACAACACAUCUAGGUGAUGUAAAACAACACAUCUAGGAGAUGUAAAACAACACAUCUAGGAGAUGUAAAACACAACACAUCUAGGAGAUGUAAAACAACACAUCUAGGAGAUAUAAAACAACACAUCUAGGAGAUAUAAAACACAACACAUCUAUGAGAUGUAAAACACAACACAUCUAGGAGAUGUAAAACACAACACAUCUAGGAGAUGUAAAACAACACAUCUAGGAGAUAUAAAACAACACAUCUAGGUGGUGUAAAACACAACACAUCUAGGAGAUGUAAAACACAACACAUCUAGGAGAUGUAAAACACAACACAUCUAGGAGAUGUAAAACACAACACAUCUAGGAGAUGUAAAACAACACAUCUAGGAGAUAUAAAACAACACAUCUAGGAGAUAUAAAACACAACACAUCUAGGAGAUGUAAAACACAACACAUCUAGGAGAUGUAAAACACAACACAUCUAGGUGAUGUAAAACAACACAUCUAGGAGAUGUAAAACACAACACAUCUAGGAGAUGUAAAACACAACACGUCUAUGAGAUGUAAAACACAACACGUCUAUGAGAUGUAAAACACAACACGUCUAUGAGAUGUAAAACACAACACGUCUAUGAGAUGUAAAACACAACACGUCUAUGAGAUGUAAAACACAACACGUCUAUGAGAUGUAAAACACAACACGUCUAUGAGAUGUAAAACACAACACGUCUAUGAGAUGUAAAACACAACACAUCUAGGAGAUGUAAAACACAACACAUCUAGGAGAUGUAAAACAACACAUCUAGGAGAUAUAAAACAACACAUCUAGGUGAUGUAAAACAACACAUCUAGGUGAUGUAAAACAACACAUCUAGGAGAUAUAAAACAACACAUCUAGGUGAUGUAAAACAACACAUCUAGGUGAUGUAAAACAACACAUCUAGGAGAUGUAAAACACAACACAUCUAGGAGAUGUAAAACAACACAUCUAGGAGAUAUAAAACAACACAUCUAGGAGAUGUAAAACACAACACAUCUAGGAGAUGUAAAACACAACACAUCUAGGAGAUGUAAAACACAACACAUCUAGGAGAUGUAAAACAACACAUCUAGGAGAUAUAAAACAACACAUCUAGGUGAUGUAAAACAACACAUCUAGGUGAUGUAAAACAACACAUCUAGGAGAUGUAAAACACAACACAUCUAGGAGAUGUAAAACAACACAUCUAGGAGAUAUAAAACAACACAUCUAGGAGAUGUAAAACACAACACAUCUAGGAGAUGUAAAACACAACACAUCUAGGAGAUGUAAAACAACACAUCUAGGAGAUAUAAAACAACACAUCUAGGUGAUGUAAAACAACACAUCUAGGUGAU